rnacentral:misc_RNA from 1 species
UCUCCGUAGGUGAACCUGCGGAGGGAUCAUUACAAGUGACCCCGAUCUUACCACCGGGAUGUUCAUAACCCUUUGUUGUCCGACUCUGUUGCCUCCGGGGCGACCCUGCCUUCGGGCGGGGGCUCCGGGUGGACACUUCAAACUCUCGCGUAACUUUGCAGUCUGAGUAAACUUAAUUAAUAAAUUAAAACUUUUAACAACGGAUCUCUUGGUUCUG